rnacentral:lncRNA from 1 species
UCCCUCCCUGCCCUUGCGGUGGCUUCCCGGCUUCCCGGCGAGGGACACGAGGGACACGAGGGACACGCGGCGCUUCCUUCCUCCCCACCCCUGCGGCGGCGGCGCACGGGGACGCGGCCUUGCACGUGGCCCCAGCCCUGUGCAUGCGGUGGCCCCAUGGCCCCCCCAUACACCAAGGAGGGGUCCCCUGUCCCCACUUGUGCCACAUGCCAGGACCCGGAGCGAGAGCAGAGCCCGGGCUGGCGUUAAAUUACAGCUUUUAUGGCAUUCUCUACAGGGGUCCCGCAGCACCCAGAGCGAGCCAUGCACCCCGUUUUGGGGUGCAGCGCUCGCCCAGCCGUAGGGUGCACCCAGUUUUUUGGGGUGCAGCGCUCACCCAGCCUUAGGGCGCUGCAGCACCCCCAGGUUUGGGGUGCCCCAAUGCACCCAGCUCUGCAGUACGGAGACGCACCCAGCUUUGGGGUGAGCAUGCACCCGGUUUUGGGGUGAGCAUGCACCCAGUUUUGGGGUGUAGUGUUGCAUUCAGCUUUGGGGUGAGCACGCACCCGGUUUUGGGGUGAGCAUGCACCCAGCUUUGGGGCGAGCAUGCACCCAGCUUUGGGGUGAGCGUGCGCCCAGCUUCGGGGCGAGCGUGCACCCAUCUCUGGAGCACAGCGCUGCACCCAGCUGUGGCGCACGGCCUCGCGCCCAGUUUCGGGGCGCAGCGCCCAGCGGCGGGCUCACAGGCGCGCCUCGGCCGGGCGCUCGGGGUGCGGGCGCCGCAGGCGCAGGCGGGAGAGGCGCGCCAGGCGCUGCAGGUCGAAGGGCAGGCAGCGCGCCUCGCGCGUCACGGCCAGCUCGGAGAAGAAGGCGCGCUCGCGCGGCAGCCCCGGCUCGCCCUCGCCCUGCUCCAGGUCCUUCACCACCCCGAGGAUCUCCUGGCGCGCCGCCUGGCNNNNNNNNNNNNNNNNNNNNGCGUGCACCCAUCUCUGGAGCACAGCGCUGCACCCAGCUGUGGCGCACGGCCUCGCGCCCAGUUUCGGGGCGCAGCGCCCAGCGGCGGGCUCACAGGCGCGCCUCGGCCGGGCGCUCGGGGUGCGGGCGCCGCAGGCGCAGGCGGGAGAGGCGCGCCAGGCGCUGCAGGUCGAAGGGCAGGCAGCGCGCCUCGCGCGUCACGGCCAGCUCGGAGAAGAAGGCGCGCUCGCGCGGCAGCCCCGGCUCGCCCUCGCCCUGCUCCAGGUCCUUCACCACCCCGAGGAUCUCCUGGCGCGCCGCCUGGCUCCGCAGCCCCCGCACGUCCAGCACCGCCGCCACGUGCUUCCUCCUGCGGGACCCAGCGGGGUGGUGAGGGGGGGGCGCGGUGCUUGGGGGGAGCAGGGGGCUGGGUGUGGGGUGAGUGGGCACCCCGCUGGGCGUGAGUGGGCACCCUGUUCUGGGGCGAGUGGGCACCCUGCUUUGGGGCGAGUGGGCACCCAGCUUUGGGGUCAGCAUCGCGCCCAGCUUGGGGUGAGCGUCGCACCCAGCUUGGGGUGGUUGGGCAGCCAGAUGUGGGGUGACUGGGCACCCAGAUUUGGGGUUAGAAUACCCCCUAUUUGGGGUGGGCAUUGCACUGAGCUUGGGGUGAGUGGGCACCUAGACUGGGGAGAGUGGGCACCCUGUUUUGGGGUGAGCAGGCACCUAUCUUUGGGGUGAGCACUGCACCCAGAUUGGGGUGAGUGGGCACCCCGCUUUGGUGUGAGCGUGCAGCCAGCUCUGGGGCCAGCCCUCUUCCCAGCUCUAACUGGUCCCAGUUGAAGGCCUGACUGGGGCUAUUUAAAGCCCGCCAGGCGCCGGAGCUUGGCCCCGCGCCCGGGGGUGUCCGGCCUUGUCCUGCAGGGCCCACGCGUGCCACCAGCCCCGAGGGCGGCCGCGGGUGACCCAGGGACGGGGAGGGGACUUGGCGCGGGACGCGGCGGCGGCGGGCGGCCAGGAGGGACCGGCAGCGGGCGGGGGCUGCCGGGAAGGACAGAGGCGGCGUCCUGCCACCCGUGGGGACACCACGUCCUGCCCCGGUCCCUGCGGGGAGGUGGCGUCCUGCCUGGCCAUGCCACCUUGCUCCUGUCCCCAUGGGGACACACGUGCCACCAUGCUGCCAUCCCCAUGGGGACACACGUGCCACCCCACUCCCAUCCCCAUGGGGACACACGUGCAACCCCGCUCCCAUCCCCAUGGAGACACACGUGCCACCCUGCUCCCAUCCCCAUGGGGACACACGUGCCACCCUGCUCCCAUCCCCAUGGGGACACACGUGCCACCCCGCUCCCAUCCCCAUGGGGCCACGCGUGCCACCAGGCUCCAUCCCCCCCCGG